rnacentral:rRNA from 1 species
UACGUAGGUGGCAAGCGUUGUCCGGAUUUCCUGGGCGUAAAGAGCGCGCUGGCGGUCGUUCAAGUCGCGUGUGAAAGCCCCCGGCUCAACUGGGGAGGGUCACGCGAUACUGAUCGACUCGAAGGCAGGAGAGGGAAGUGGAAUUCCCGGUGUAGUGGUGAAAUGCGUAGAUAUCGGGAGGAACACCAGUGGCGAAGGCGACUUCCUGGCCUGUUCUUGACGCUGAGGCGCGAAAGCUAGGGGAGCAAACGGG